UGAGUCCUAAAGCUCAGUUUGAGAUGUGUC
rnacentral:piRNA from 1 species